CGUUGGUCAGUUUAACGUUAAGUAAGCUAAUUAAUCGAUAAUCUGAACGGGAAAAUAGCCACAAACUAUUAAGUUCCAUUAAUCAAAACAACUCUAACAGCAUCGAGGAGACCACGUGGCAGUGGUGGCACCUGAGGACCUGAGAGAGAACAGGGAGGUAGCAGUGGUUAGCAGUAGAUGGGAAAAUCAACGGCGUGGCAGGAAGUAAAGUGAAACUGUCAGGACGAUGGACGCGAGGGAGGGGGAGCUGAUUAACUUCUCGGCGUUGGAGAGAGAGCUGUGUGCUGCGGUGGAGGCUGACCAACGCUAUCAGAGAGAGAACGAUGCCAAACUACGAGCCAUCAACCAGAAAGUUGGUUCCUAUGAAGAGUUCAGAGACAUAGUUCUUUCCUGCCACCUGAAGCCUCUGGAGAGGAAGGACAAGGAGGGAGCAGCUCGCAAACAGCCCUGGAACCCCCUGGUCUCUUCUAGCAAGGCUCACAACUCACUGCUCUCCCAUAGCAACACACAGCAUCCAGUCGUCUCCCUGGCAACAGAGUAUCCAGCCAGCCAUCCCCUGGCAUCACAGAGCUUCCAGGGCUCUCCCCCGAGCGGCAUAGAGCAUUGACUGGUCUGCCAAAGCAACACAGAGGUUCCAGUGGUCUCCCAUAGAAAUACAGAUCAUUCAGUGGGUUUCCUUAGCAACACAAACCGUCCGCUGGUCUGCCCCAACAACACAGUGGUUCCAGUGGUCUCCCCUAGCAACACCGUGCAUUCAGCGGUCUCCCAUAGCAACACAGAUCAUCCAGUGGGUUUCCUUAGCAACACAAACCAUCUGCUGGUGUGCCCUAACAACACAGUGCUUCCAGUGGUCUACCCUAGCAACACCUAGCAUUCAGUGGUCUCCCAUAGCAACACAGCUUCCCCAGUGUUUUCCCCUAGCAACGCAAACCAUCCACUGGUCUGUCCUAGCAACACAGAGGUUUCAGUCGUCUCCCCUAGCAACACCUCGCAUCCAGUAGUCUCCCACAGCAACCAGUGGUCUCCAACAGUUGGAGCCAGCUCCAGGUCAUAUGACCUCUCACAUUUCUGCUUCAACUAUAUUUUAAGCUUAUUGCAUGAAAACAGCAGGUCAUGUGACAUAUUCUUUGUUUCCAUGACGACCAGCUGCAGUGGGCGUCACUAUCAGUAAACAGGUUUUGGACACAACACUCAUCAGAAAGCUCCUUAAACACCCCAAAUUCUCCAACGCAAGACUUAAUGGUCAGCUUUCAGCUGCAGCUUCCUUCACAUUCCUUAUCAGCUGAAACGUGGGGGACUUUUCUCAUGUCGAAGGCAGAUGCGGCGCGUUUCAGCGGAACGUUCAGCCGCUCUUCUUUCGCCUCUUAGGCAGGCAGUAACACAACAGUGUGACUAUAACCACAGACUGUCUGCCGCUGCACUGUAGGAAUUUACGUGAUCUUGUGAUCUCGCGAGACCAGCUGCCUCGCAAGGAAUGGUGACUACGUCACACUGACAUCCACACCACGAGAUGACGUUGUGACGGGUCCGUCGUUUACUGGCUAACGAGGG